UGCCGCUAGGUAUCAUGGAGCCAAUGGUGAAAUACCGCCCUUUAUUUAUCUGGAGUCUAACUCCCCACGGGAGGACAUUGUAUGGUGGGUAGUUUGACUGGGGUGGUCGCCUCCAAAAGUGUAACGGAGGCUUUCAAAGGUACCCUCAGUACGGUUGGCAAUCGUACGUGGAGUGUAAUGGCAGAAGGGUGCUUGACUGUGAGACCGACGGGUCGAGCAGGGUCGAAAGACGGACAUAGUGAUCCGGUGGUUUCCGCAUGGAAGGGCCAUCGCUCAAAGGAUAAAAGGUACUCCGGGGAUAACAGGCUGAUCUCCCCCAAGAGCUCAUAUCGAC
rnacentral:rRNA from 1 species